rnacentral:rRNA from 1 species
UUAAGCGACUAAGCGUACACGGGGGAUGCCCUGGCAGUCAGAGGCGAUGAAGGACGUGCUAAUCUGCGAAAAGCGCCGGCGAGGUGAUAUGAACCUUUGACCCGGCGAUGUCCGAAUGGGGAAACCCAGUGCAAUCCGUUGCACUAUCGUUAACUGAAUACAUAGGUUAACGAGGCGAACCGGGGGAACUGAAACAUCUAAGUACCCCGAGGAAAAGAAAUCAACCGAGAUUCCCCCAGUAGCGGCGAGCGAACGGGGAGCAGCCCGGAGUCUGAAUCAGCUUGUGUGUUAGUGGAACGGUCUGGAAAGUCCGACGGUACAGGGUGAUAGUCCCGUACACGAAAGCACACAUGCUGUGAACUCGAAGAGUAGGGCGGGACACGUGGUAUCCUGUCUGAAUAUGGGGGGACCAUCCUCCAAGGCUAAAUACUCCUGACUGACCGAUAGUGAACCAGUACCGUGAGGGAAAGGCGAAAAGAACCCCGGCGAGGGGAGUGAAAAAGAACCUGAAACCGUGUACGUACAAGCAGUGGGAGCCUCUUUAUGGGGUGACUGCGUACCUUUUGUAUAAUGGGUCAGCGACUUAUAUUCUGUAGCAAGGUUAACCGUAUAGGGGAGCCGAAGGGAAACCGAGUCUUAACUGGGCGUUAAGUUGCAGGGUAUAGACCCGAAACCCGGUGAUCUAGCCAUGGGCAGGUUGAAGGUUGGGUAACACUAACUGGAGGACCGAACCGACUAAUGUUGAAAAAUUAGCGGAUGACCUGUGGCUGGGGGUGAAAGGCCAAUCAAACCGGGAGAUAGCUGGUUCUCCCCGAAAGCUAUUUAGGUAGCGCCUCGUGAACUCAUCUUCGGGGGUAGAGCACUGUUUCGGCUAGGGGGCCAUCCCGGCUUACCAACCCGAUGCAAACUACGAAUACCGAAGAAUGUUAUCACGGGAGACACACGGCGGGUGCUAACGUCCGUCGUGAAGAGGGAAACAACCCAGACCGCCAGCUAAGGUCCCAAAGUCAUGGUUAAGUGGGAAACGAUGUGGGAAGGCACAGACAGCCAGGAUGUUGGCUUAGAAGCAGCCAUCAUUUAAAGAAAGCGUAAUAGCUCACUGGUCGAGUCGGCCUGCGCGGAAGAUGUAACGGGGCUAAACCAUGCACCGAAGCUGCGGCAGCGACACUAUGUGUUGUUGGGUAGGGGAGCGUUCUGUAAGCCGUUGAAGGUGUGCUGUGAGGCAUGCUGGAGGUAUCAGAAGUGCGAAUGCUGACAUAAGUAACGAUAAAGCGGGUGAAAAGCCCGCUCGCCGGAAGACCAAGGGUUCCUGUCCAACGUUAAUCGGGGCAGGGUGAGUCGACCCCUAAGGCGAGGCCGAAAGGCGUAGUCGAUGGGAAACAGGUUAAUAUUCCUGUACUUGGUGUUACUGCGAAGGGGGGACGGAGAAGGCUAUGUCAGCCGGGCGACGGUUGUCCCGGUUUAAGCAUGUAGGCGGAGGUUCCAGGUAAAUCCGGUACCUUUUAACGCUGAGGUGUGAUGACGAGGCACUACGGUGCUGAAGUGAUAAAUGCCCUGCUUCCAGGAAAAGCCUCUAAGCAUCAGGUAACACGAAAUCGUACCCCAAACCGACACAGGUGGUCAGGUAGAGAAUACCAAGGCGCUUGAGAGAACUCGGGUGAAGGAACUAGGCAAAAUGGUGCCGUAACUUCGGGAGAAGGCACGCUGAUGUGUAGGUGAAGCCCCUGCGGGCGGAGCUGAAAUCAGUCGAAGAUACCAGCUGGCUGCAACUGUUUAUUAAAAACACAGCACUGUGCAAACACGAAAGUGGACGUAUACGGUGUGACGCCUGCCCGGUGCCGGAAGGUUAAUUGAUGGGGUUAGCGGCAACGCGAAGCUCUUGAUCGAAGCCCCGGUAAACGGCGGCCGUAACUAUAACGGUCCUAAGGUAGCGAAAUUCCUUGUCGGGUAAGUUCCGACCUGCACGAAUGGCGUAAUGAUGGCCAGGCUGUCUCCACCCGAGACUCAGUGAAAUUGAACUCGCUGUGAAGAUGCAGUGUACCCGCGGCAAGACGGAAAGACCCCGUGAACCUUUACUAUAGCUUGACACUGAACACUGGUCCUUGAUGUGUAGGAUAGGUGGGAGGCUUUGAAGCGUGGACGCCAGUCUGCGUGGAGCCAACCUUGAAAUACCACCCUUUAAUGGCUGGUGUUCUAACGUAGACCCGUAAUCCGGGUUGCGGACAGUGUCUGGUGGGUAGUUUGACUGGGGCGGUCUCCUCCCAAAGAGUAACGGAGGAGCACGAAGGUUGGCUAAUCCUGGUCGGACAUCAGGAGGUUAGUGCAAUGGCAUAAGCCAGCUUGACUGCGAGCGUGACGGCGCGAGCAGGUGCGAAAGCAGGUCAUAGUGAUCCGGUGGUUCUGAAUGGAAGGGCCAUCGCUCAACGGAUAAAAGGUACUCCGGGGAUAACAGGCUGAUACCGCCCAAGAGUUCAUAUCGACGGCGGUGUUUGGCACCUCGAUGUCGGCUCAUCACAUCCUGGGGCUGAAGUAGGUCCCAAGGGUAUGGCUGUUCGCCAUUUAAAGUGGUACGCGAGCUGGGUUUAGAACGUCGUGAGACAGUUCGGUCCCUAUCUGCCGUGGGCGCUGGAGAAUUGAGGGGGGCUGCUCCUAGUACGAGAGGACCGGAGUGGACGCAUCACUGGUGUUCGGGUUGUCAUGCCAAUGGCACUGCCCGGUAGCUAAAUGCGGAAGAGAUAAGUGCUGAAAGCAUCUAAGCACGAAACUUGCCCCGAGAUGAGUUCUCCCUGAGACCUUGAGUCUCCUGAAGGAACGUUGAAGACGACGACGUUGAUAGGUCGGGUGUGUAAGCGCAGCGAUGCGUUGAGCUAACCGAUACUAAUGAACCGUGAGGCUUAACCUU